CUUAUUCCCAUCAAUUACUCCACCCUGACAAACAAGCCCUCAGGCAAACUGAGUAAGGGUUGUACAACCAGUGCCCCAGAAUUCAACAUUCAGAGACAUCACAGCUACCAGCACUUCUAAGGCUGCAAGAGAAUGGAUCCACCUUGCAGGUGCUAAGGCAAACAGGGAGAAACAGUUUCCCUCCCAUACAGGAGAGGAGGCAACUAUUUACCUGUCUCCUGUGUAAAUUAAGCAUGCUGGAAUCAAAACAAUGGAAACUCCAGUUACAUAUAGGGGGAUGGGAAGCCCAUAGGAAGCAAAGAACAACAUGAGGUCAUCCUGCUUCUUGAAACAAAGUCACUGAACUUUGGAAGAUAUGAGCAUAGAAAGAAGCCUUCUUUGGCAUCCAUCACUAGACACACAAAGGAACCGAGCUCUUGCAAGCUAAGAAAGAGGGGUCCUUCAACCAAGGGUGGGG